rnacentral:rRNA from 1 species
GGCGAACCGUCCAAACGUUGUUCGGAAUCACUGGGCUUAAAGGGCGCGUAGGCGGGCUAUCAAGUCCGGGGUGAAAUCCUCCAGCUUAACUGGAGAACGGCCUCGGAUACUGAUGGUCUCGAGGGAGAUAGGGGCACGCGGAACUGUGGGUGGAGCGGUGAAAUGCGUUGAUAUCCAUAGGAACUCCGGUGGCGAAGGCGGCGUGCUGGAUCUCUUCUGACGCUGAGGCGCGAAAGCCAGGGGAGCAAACGGG